rnacentral:rRNA from 1 species
UGGGGAAUAUUGGACAAUGGGGGGAACCCUGAUCCAGCCAUGCCGCGUGUGUGAAGAAGGCCUUAUGGUUGUAAAGCACUUUAAGCGAGGAGGAGGGUACUGGUAUUAAUACUACCAGGUACUGGACGUUACUCGCAGAAUAAGCGCCGGCUAACUCUGUGCCAGCAGCCGCGGUAAUACAGAGGGUGCGAGCGUUAAUCGGAUUUACUGGGCGUAAAGCGUGCGUAGGCGGCUAAUUGAGUCGGAUGUGAAAUCCCCGAGCUUAACUUGGGAAUUGCAUUCGAUACUGGUUAGCUAGAGUGUGGGAGAGGAUGGUAGAAUUCCAGGUGUAGCGGUGAAAUGCGUAGAGAUCUGGAGGAAUACCGAUGGCGAAGGCAGCCAUCUGGCCUAACACUGACGCUGAGGUACGAAAGCAUGGGGAGCAAACAGG